UUGAGCGAUGGUUAAACAUUCAGGGAGUUGUAAAAGUGACCUGAAGUGGUGUUGAAUGAAAAGGCAUUGACUUCCCUCCGAGUCACCCCAAUCCAAACUCGCUUCCAGCAGUGACUCCUGCCUGAGGAGAGACAAAGGGCUUCUCCAGGAGCACAAAGGCCGUCGCUAAAACAAACAUCCUUACAAAUCCCUCCCUUUUUAUUCCUGAGAUCACACCAGCAAUUAGGGAAAAAUUAUCCCAGGCCAGACACAGAGGAGAACUUUCAGAUCGUGUCAUCCCGCCCACAGAAGGAGAAAAAAAUCCCAACAAAAAUCCCCCAGGAAAGUGUAACCAGAGGUUUGAUAACACUGAGGGAGGGCUUGUGAUGUGGACAGCAAGGUUUGGGAUCCCUCCUCCCAUUGCGUUCCCGGGGCUAUCCCUCCAUCUUCCUGCACAUCCCACCGUGGCAGCCAGUGCCUGGCAUCUCCUGAAGCUUUCAGAAAAUCCUACGCAGGUUUCCCAGAUAGGAUAUUUCCUCACCAGUGCUGAGAAUAUCUUGGCAUGAAGACAGUGGGACAUGCUUUAGUCCAACAAUAAAUGAAUUUCCAG